GUUCGGUUUGCCUUUUACAAGCCACCUUCUUUUUCGAGUCAAGGCAACAAAUUUAAUAAACAGCACCGCUGACGAAUUGAACGAGAUCGGUUGUAAAAUGUUAUUUUCAGUUUUAUUUAGCUGGAUUUUUUUUAUAUCAGGGCCUGUCGGCGUGUUAUGUCAGCCCACUACCGAUUACUCUCCUGCAUCGACCGUUGCAUCGCUGAAUACAACAACAGUACAGUAUCCUUGGAGUUGCUCUGCGGACACAAAUCCGAGCUUGAUCGCAUGCGGGAGCUGCUCGUGGGGUCAUGAGUGUCAGCUUCUGCAUGGAUUCUGUUGUCAAGUAGCCCGUGAAAAUCCUUUUUCUUGCGCCGGAAGAUGUUGCUACGACAUCGCGGCAUCUCUGUGUAAUAUUACCAUAAACGUCGUUUUUCCGCCGUAAGUUUAUUUUAGGCAAGUGUCUUCUUAUCACUGUGCCAGUGACCAUCUCGUUUGUGACAAGUAACGCCAGCACUGAGUUCUAUAAUUAUGCUGUCGGCAUUUUCAUUCACUUGUCCUGUUAUAGAUGUCUGCUUAAUCUUCCCUUUCCAAUCCUUUCUAAUGAAGCAAAUUUUGCACUACUUCACUUUGUUUCACAUUCCGAAC